GAUGACUUUUAGCUACAGGCUUAACACAUGCAAGUCGAGGGGCAGCAUGAACUUAGCUUGCUAAGUUUGAUGGCGACCGGCGCACGGGUGAGUAACACGUAUCCAACCUGCCGAUGACUCGGGGAUAGCCUUUCAAAAGAAAGAUUAAUACCCGAUGGCAUACUUCUUCCGCAUGGAAGAACUAUUAAAGAAUUUCGGUCAUCGAUGGGGAUGCGUUCCAUUAGGUUGUUGGCGGGGUAACGGCCCACCAAGCCUUCGAUGGAUAGGGGUUCUGAGAGGAAGGUCCCCCACAUUGGAACUGAGACACGGUCCAAACUCCUACGGGAGGCAGCAGUGAGGAAUAUUGGUCAAUGGACGAGAGUCUGAACCAGCCAAGUAGCGUGAAGGAUGACUGCCCUAUGGGUUGUAAACUUCUUUUAUACGGGAAUAAAGUGAGGCACGCGUGCCUUUUUGUAUGUACCGUAUGAAUAAGGAUCGGCUAACUCCGUGCCAGCAGCCGCGGUAAUACGGAGGAUCCGAGCGUUAUCCGGAUUUAUUGGGUUUAAAGGGAGCGUAGGCGGACGCUUAAGUCAGUUGUGAAAGUUUGCGGCUCAACCGUAAAAUUGCAGUUGAUACUGGGUGUCUUGAGUACAGUAGAGGCAGGCGGAAUUCGUGGUGUAGCGGUGAAAUGCUUAGAUAUCACGAAGAACUCCGAUUGCGAAGGCAGCUUGCUGGACUGUAACUGACGCUGAUGCUCGAAAGUGUGGGUAUCAAACAGGAUUAGAUACCCUGGUAGUCCACNC
rnacentral:rRNA from 1 species